rnacentral:rRNA from 1 species
UCCUCCUACGGGACGCAGCAGUGGGGAAUAUUGGGCAAUGGGCGCAAGCCUGACCCAGCAACGCCGCGUGAAGGAAGAAGGCCCUCGGGUUAUAAACUUCUUUUAUUCGGGACGAAACAAAUGACGGUACCGAAUGAAUAAGCCACGGCUAACUACGUGCCAGCAGCCGCGGUAAUACGUAGGGAGCAAGCGUUAUCCGGAAUUAUUGGGUGUAAAGGGUGCGUAGACGGGAGUCUAAGUUAGUUGUGAAAUCCCUCGGCUCAACUGAGGAACUGCAACUAAAACUGGACAUCUUGAGUG